rnacentral:rRNA from 1 species
CAUGGCUCAGAUUGAACGCUGGCGGCAGGCUUAACACAUGCAAGUCGAGCGGGGAAGAGUAGCUUGCUACUUGACCUAGCGGCGGACGGGUGAGUAAUGCUUAGGAAUCUGCCUAUUAGUGGGGGACAACAUCUCGAAAGGGAUGCUAAUACCGCAUACGUCCUACGGGAGAAAGCAGGGGACCUUCGGGCCUUGCGCUAAUAGAUGAGCCUAAGUCGGAUUAGCUAGUUGGUGGGGUAAAGGCCUACCAAGGCGACGAUCUGUAGCGGGUCUGAGAGGAUGAUCCGCCACACUGGGACUGAGACACGGCCCAGACUCCUACGGGAGGCAGCAGUGGGGAAUAUUGGACAAUGGGGGGAACCCUGAUCCAGCCAUGCCGCGUGUGUGAAGAAGGCCUUUUGGUUGUAAAGCACUUUAAGCGAGGAGGAGGCUACCGAGAUUAAUACUCUUGGAUAGUGGACGUUACUCGCAGAAUAAGCACCGGCUAACUCUGUGCCAGCCGCCGCGGUAUACA